UACGAAGGGGGCUAGCGUUGCUCGGAAUCACUGGGCGUAAAGGGUGCGUAGGCGGGUCUUUAAGUCAGGGGUGAAAUCCUGGAGCUCAACUCCAGAACUGCCUUUGAUACUGAGGAUCUUGAGUUCGGGAGAGGUGAGUGGAACUGCGAGUGUAGAGGGUGAAAAUUCGUAGAUAUUCGCAAGAACACCAGUGGCGAAGGCGGACUCACUGGCCCGAUACUGACGCUGAGGCACGAAAGCG
rnacentral:rRNA from 1 species